UACGUAGGGUGCAAGCGUUGUCCGGAAUUAUUGGGCGUAAAGAGCUCGUAGGCGGUCUGUCGCGUCGGAUGUGAAAAUCCAGGGCUCAACCCUGGACCUGCAUUCGAUACGGGCAGACUAGAGUUCGGUAGGGGAGACUGGAAUUCCUGGUGUAGCGGUGAAAUGCGCAGAUAUCAGGAGGAACACCGGUGGCGAAGGCGGGUCUCUGGGCCGAAACUGACGCUAAGGCGCGAAAGCGUGGGGAGCGAACAGG
rnacentral:rRNA from 1 species